AUGGCUCCAUUUUACAAUAAAGAACAGGCCUCCGGGCUCAGCACCUCUGCGCUGAGACCUCAGGGUCAGCUCCACCGCGGCCCCAGGUUCUCACGCUCCACACCCACGGCAGAACCACCCGGGGAAGCCGCUCUCCUCCCCCACUUACGCGCCUCCGGCCGCGCGCGGUGCACGCAGGGAGCUCGAUCUAGGCUACGGACAAGAGGAAGAGCGCUUAGAUGGAGGCCGCGCAGAGGAGAAUGGGAAGGGUGUGCGAGGGUCUCUGGGAAGAAGGUCCGAACCCACGCCAGCGCCGGACGGCAAAAAAAAAAAAAACAGACCGCAGGAGGGCCCGUAAAUCAAGUAGGAGGGGAAAAGAGCCGCAAAGCCAAAGCCGUCUGCGGCAGCCGUAAAGCAACCUGGAGGCGCAGUGCUGGCGUCUACGUGCUGAGCCGCUCUGCCUCCUACUUCCCUCCAGCUUCCCUGGGUCCGCGGCCGUCGGACCUCUGCUGCCCCCUGGUGGGCUCGGCGGUGUCGUCAGGCCUGCAGGGGCUAGUUAGGCCGCGUGGUUCCCACUUCACAUGCCCGGCGCCCACUGGGAUGCGGGGCCCACCCGUGCACAACUGGGGAGAUCUUAGGCAGAACGGUUGUCGGAGACCUGCCCAGGUUCCGCCCGGGCCGAGGCAGCGGGGGACCGGGUGGUUCCGGAGGCCCCUCACCACCGCCGCGCACAGCCAGCCGUCACCGGAUGGCGCCUUCGACACACGGAAGGUGAAGGUUGGGGUCGAUGGAUUUGGUCGUGCUGGGUGCCUGGUCAUCAGGGCUGCUUUUAACUCUGGUAAAGUGGAUAUUGUCACCAUCAAUGACCCCUUCAUAGCCCUCAACUGCACGGUCUACAUGUUCCAGUAUGAGUCCACCCAUGGCAAAUUCCAUGGCACCAUCAAGGCUGAGAACGGGAAGCUUGUCAUCAAUAGAAAUCCCAUCACCAUCUUCCAGGAGCGAGGUCCCUCCAAAAUCAAGUGGGGCGAUGCUGGCACUGAGUACAUCGUGGAGUCCACUGCCAUCUUCACCACCAUAGAGAAGGCCGGGGCUCACAUGCAGGGGGGAGCCAAAAGGGGCAUCAUCUCUGCCUCCUCUGCUGACGCCCCCAUAUUCGUGAUGGGCGUGAACCAUGAGAAGUAUGACAAUAGCCUCAAGAUUGUCAGCAAUGCCUCCUGCACCACCAGCUGCUUAGCGCCCCAAGUUCAUCCGUGACAACUUUGGUAUCGUGGAAGGACUCACGACCACAGUCCACGCCAUCACUGCCACCCAGAAGACUGUGGAUGGCCCCUCCGGGAAACUGUGGCGUGAUGGCCACAGGGCUCUCCAGAAUGUCAUCCCUGCCUCUACUGGUGCUGCCAAGGCUGUGGGCAAGGCUGAGCUGAACGGGAAGCUCACUGGCAUGGCCUUCUGUGUCCCCACUGCCAACAUGUCAAUGGUGGACCUGACCUGCCGUCUGGAAAAACUGCCAAAUAUGAUGACAUCAAGAAGGUGGUGAAGCAGGCGUCGGAGUGCCCCCUCAAGGGCAUCCUGGGCUACACUGAGCACCAGGUGGUCUCCUCCGACUUCAACAGCGACACCCACUCUUUCACCUUCAAUGCUGCGGCUGGCACAGACCUCAGCAAUCACUUUGUCAAGCUCAUUUCCUGGUAUGACAACGAAUUUGGCUACAGCAACAGGGUGGUGGACCUCAUGGCCCACAUGACCUCCAAGGAGUAAGACCCCUGGACCACCAGCCCCAGCGAGAGUACAAGAGGAAGAGAGAGGCCCUCACUGCUGGGAGUCCCUGCCACACUCAGUCCCCCACCACACUGAAUCUCCCCUCCUCACAGUUUCCAUGCAGACCCCUUGAAGAGGGAGGGGCCUGAGGAGCCUCACCUUGUCGUCUACCAUCAGUAAAGUCCCUGUGCUCA